rnacentral:lncRNA from 1 species
GUGCUCCUUUCUCAUAUGAGCGGGCUUUUGACUUCAAUGCUUCAAUUGUAUUCCCUUAUUCUCCAGGUGGGUGCCUGAUUUCUUCCUUCCUUUGUCCUUAUUCUCCAGGUGGACGCCUGAUUACUUCUUUUCUUUGUCCUUGUUCUCCAGGUGGACGCCUGAUUUCUUCCUUCUUUGUCCUUGUUCUCCAGGUGGACGCCUGAUUUCUAUUUUUCUUUGUCCUACAACAAACUCCGUUCUACAGGCGGGUCUCCUAUUGGUAAGAUUAAACUUAGGAAGUGCGUCUCCUAUGGUGAAACUAAACUGAGGAAGUGUGUCUCCUAUGGUGAUGACAUGCCUGCAUUUAUACUUGUGGGCGACCUGGAA